UCGAUUUCGUCCAUCACGUCUCUUACGAACUGCGUUCACCGCUCACGACCAUCAUCGGCUUCGCGCACUUCCUCAGCGAUCCGUCGACCGGACCGAUGACGCUGAAACAGAGCGAAUACCUCAGCUACAUCACGACCUCGACCAACGCCCUGCUCGCCAUCAUCAACAACAUUCUCGAUCUCGCCACCAUCGACGCCGGCGCGAUGACGCUUAAUCUUGGGCCGGUGGAUGUGCAGAAGACUGUCUCGGAUGCCACCGCAGGCAUUCAGGACCGGCUCGCC
rnacentral:misc_RNA from 1 species